rnacentral:misc_RNA from 1 species
UCAGGUUUCAAUCAUUUCUCCAUCUCUGUGUUCUAUCGAUAUGAAUUUAUUGGUUUCAAAUUGAUCUUCUGGUGUUACUUAGUAAUGGGCUCUUUUGUUGGGUUGUAAAGUGGUAUAAAGUGCAGGGAUGUGAUGAUAUGUGAAUUUGUCUUUGGGGUUUUCUGUCCUUUCGAGGAUUUAAUGAUAUUAAAUUUUUCUGGGUGAUUUCGUUGAUUUAGAAGUCUAGCUG